CAGCAGUAGCCGCGGUAAUACGUAGGUGGCAAGCGUUGUCCGGAAUUAUUGGGCGUAAAGGGCUCGCAGGCGGUUUCUUAAGUCUGAUGUGAAAGCCCCCGGCUCAACCGGGGAGGGUCAUUGGAAACUGGGAAACUUGAGUGCAGAAGAGGAGAGUGGAAUUCCACGUGUAGCGGUGAAAUGCGUAGAGAUGUGGAGGAACACCAGUGGCGAAGGCGACUCUCUGGUCUGUAACUGACGCUGAGGAGCGAAAGCGUGGGGAGCGAACAGGAUUAGAUACCCGAGUAGUCCCUGUCUCUUAUAA
rnacentral:rRNA from 1 species